rnacentral:rRNA from 1 species
GACGAACGCUGGCGGCGUGCUUAACACAUGCAAGUCGAACGGAAAGGCCCCUUUGGGGGUACUCGAGUGGCGAACGGGUGAGUAACACGUGAGUAACCUGCCCUUGACUUCGGGAUAACUUCAGGAAACUGGGGCUAAUACCGGAUAGGAAUCCUUGCUGCAUGGUGGGGGUUGGAAAGCUUCGGCGGUUUUGGAUGGACUCGCGGCUUAUCAGCUUGUUGGGGGGGUAGUGGCUUACCAAGGCUUUGACGGGUAGCCGGCCUGAGAGGGCGACCGGCCACAUUGGGACUGAGGUACGGCCCAGACACCUACGGGAGGCAGCAGGGGGGAAGAUUGCACAAUGGGCGGCAGCCUGAUGCAGCAACGCCGCGGGCGGGAGGACGGCCUUCGGGUUGUAAACCGCUUGCAGCAGGGGCGAAGCUUGUGGUGACGGUACCUGCAGAAGAAGCACCGGCUAACUACGUG